rnacentral:rRNA from 1 species
AUGCAUGCAUGGCGGAAUGGAGUCGAUCUCUCUGCAAAAGGUAGCUCUAUAUAUACAAGCUCCGAAUUGAAGCUUAAUUUUAGCCAUGGCUUCCGAUCGAUCGAGAAAGAGAAAAGAACCAAUGGAGUUCUGGUGGCGCAUGCAAAGAUCAUUGCUGAUCGAUCGAAAUUAGUUUUAUUCUACUCUCGAGUGAGUCCUAGCUACAUCUAUCUACAUGCAUGCUGUUCUUGUACCGUCUUAUUAGGUUCUUUCUUGGUACCCCUAUUGUUUAAGGUGCUGGAUUUUCGAUAUUCUUGGAUCUCCUUAAUUCCGCUGUCAUUGUAA